rnacentral:lncRNA from 1 species
GAAUUAGAAGAUGCAAGCACACCUGAUGGAAAAGUAAACAGUGCUGGAGAAGAGAACUUAAAUCUCAGAAUAAAAGAGCUGGAAAAGUCAGAGCAAAACCUGAAAGGUGUUCUAGAGGACUACGUGGAGUCAGAUUCUGUCCUAAGACAUAGGAUGAAUGAGCUGGAGCUGUCACACAAAAAACUUCUUGUGAUGAUUGAUCAGCUCAAUGUGAAGUUGCAAAAGGUUGAAAAUGCCAAUGUACGUAUUAAAGGGAAAUUGCAACGCAUUCAGGAGGAUCUGAUCAACUUGGUUGAAAACCAAAAAAAGUCAGAGAAGAAGCAAAAGGAAAAAUUGUGUUGGCUUCAGGAGCAGCUGAAGACAAAAGAAGAAGAAAUAAAAAGCCAAUCAGAAUAUUUUGAACACUACAAACAAAGACAGAGACAACAAACAACAGUAUUGAGAAAGAGGGAAUGUUACCUUCGGGGUGAAGUAUCUAGGCUGGAAAAGCAAGUCCUAGAUCUUAGUUCCCAUGUUGCUCUUUUGACAUCCGAGAUAGAAGAGGGAAUGGUGCAGCAUCUCCAGCAGGUACUGGAAUCAACGUUCAGUGGGACUCGGGGUUAUAAACACCCUGACAUGGAAGUAGUGGAAUUGAAAACUUGUAUUGAAAAUGUGGAGCAUGAUGUGAAAAGCCACCUUCAGGCAUUUCAGCAAAAUCUGAAGUUCUUAAGGGAAAAAGAGGAGGACAACAGAAGAGAAGAGGGAGACCUGCUGACUGAACUGCAGUGCUCUCAGGACAAUGAAGACUUCCUCAGAACAAAAUUGGAAGAAUCAUCCUGUCAUGUCUAUAGUUUGAAAUUAUCUGAAAUCAAACUACAGGAAAAAAUGGAAGAGCUUUUGGAUGAAAACAGAGCUUUAAAAGAUCAAAGUACAGUGAUGUUGAAAAAGAAGAAAGAAAAAGAUUCACAACUUGCAAGAUUGGAGAAUGGAGACAACAGUGUUGACCUGGUAUGUCAACUGAAUGGAGAUCUAAUUCAGGAUGAAAUUCAAAAUCUUAAAAGGAGACCAGUCUUGGAUUCACUCAGAAGCAGAGCUACUCAAACUCCAGCUGUGCUGCUACAUGCUGAAGAGUCUGAAACACCAGGAUGUAGUCAUGAUGGACUAAAGCAGAUGGAGGAGCUACCAGAAGAAUCUGUACCAGUCUGGGAAGGCAAUUCCAGUGCCUUUGUGAAAGUUGCUGGUCUAGCUGAGGCUGAGGAGGUGAGAAAAAUAGAAAUUUGAGAUAGAGUGAAGAGCUGGUGCAUUUAAAGUUGAAGUAGCUUUAUC